CAAUGGUGAUGUCCCAAAACCCAAAACAGUUGACGACAAGUCCCAGCUAAUCACCGACGGUAGCCUGCCGGACAAAUAUGACGGUGGGGCAAGCAGCCACAGUAGUCAGGAUGAGGACAAUGCUGGAGGCAAGGAACAAGAGAAAAAAAAGAAUCGUGUCGGAUUCCUGAAAAUGUACAGAUUCGCCGACAAGUUGGACGUAUUUCUUUUAAUUGUGGGCAGUUUGUGCGCUCUUUUAAACGGCGCUGCCUGGCCGGCUGUUAUGAUCAUCUUUGGGGACACAAUCCAGCUUUUCGUCGACCAAGCAAAGUAUGAGCAUUUACUUUCUUUAGUUCCUGACUUCCUGGCUUCCAUUGGUCAAAGCCGAGAAAGCGCCAGGACAAACCCACAACGCAUAAGGUGAGAACAAAAGACUCGGAAUACAUUGGCGCUUUUUAUUUUUUCGAUUGGUUUCUUUUUCUUUUUUUAAAUGUUGGUGUUUUUACGCCCCCAUUGAAAACCUUUAGAUCAUUUAGUAGCGGGCUUCUGACUCUGUCUGUACGGGCCUAUCCGGGAUGAGAGGGAUAUAGCAUCCCAGUAGAAAAACUGACAUACACUGUACUCAAUAAACGUUCCUUCUAUCCCGAGAAUUCAACUCGGAUCUCCUGUGGAUAAAAGCGAAUCGCCUAACCACUACACCACAGACGCCGCUCUUGCUUUGUUCUGACAUAUUUUCUUUCAGUUUGAUGUGGAAUGAUUUUUCGAUUAGCUUUUGUUUCUCUACAUGUUGUUUGGUUUGAUAUGAUUCACUUUCAUCAUAAAUGAAAACCACUGGACGCAUAUAUAAUAUAGGUUGUUUUGAAGACGUAUCUCUCGGUUCUCUCAGAAGAGGAGGAACUCGGCAAAAGAAGUAGAAGAAGAAGAAGAAGAAGAAGAAGGAGAAGAAGAAGAAGAAGAAGGAGAAGAAGAAGAAGGAGGAGAAGAA